GGCAGGACUGAGAAGACGAGAGGUGGGCUUCGUUCCUGAGAAUAUCCAGGAGUCCAAGAGAUCUAAAUUGGAAGAUGGCCUUCCAAUUUAGGUCAGUUUCCAAUUAAGAAGGCCAGGUUUUUAUGAAGCAAUAUUUGUCAAGAAUUCAACUAUCAACUUGCUGGUCCUCUACUUCCCGAAACUCUCCAGCCUACAUUUCUUCCUCUUCUUCGGUUUCUAAACUCAAACUGACUUUGGAAUGAAAGGGAGCAGCUGCUGAGGCAUGGACAUUCACUUUUGCAGAUGAGGAAACAAGAAUUCAGAGUUGAUUUGCACAUACGAAGCAAAACAAGUGAGAUCCAAGCCUCCAGACUCUACAACAGAUGCUUCCAAUAUCUAUGUCUAAUGAAGUAAACUACUCUGAAAAUCAAAAUGUGUAUUUUUUAAAUUAAUAAAAACUUUCUUUCUACCUCA
rnacentral:lncRNA from 1 species